AGUCGAGCGCUAACUCUGCUUCGGUAGAGUGAGAGCGGCGAAAGGGUGAGUAAUGUAUAGAAAACCUACCUUCGAGAGGGGGACAACAGUUCGAAAGGGCUGCUAAUACCGCAUAAGAUUGUAGUUACGCAUGUAACAGCAAUAAAAGCAGGGGAUCUUCGGACCUUGUGCUUGAAGAGGGUUCUAUAUCCUAUUAGCUAGUUGGUGGGGUAAUGGCCUACCAAGGCGACGAUGGGUAGCCGGCCUGAGAGGGUGAGCGGCCACACGGGCACUGAGACACGGGCCCGACUCCUACGGGAGGCAGCAGGAAGGAAUAUUGGGCAAUGGGCGCAAGCCUGACCCAGCGACACCGCGUGGAGGACUGAAGGCUUUCGGGUUGUAAACUCCUAACACGUAUUAAGAAGGCCACGAAGAGUAAUACGCUUUGUGGAUUGACGAAGGUACGAGAUGAAGUCAUGGCUAACUCUGUGCCAGCAGCCGCGGUAAUACAGAGAUGGCAACCGUUGUUCGGAAUCACUGGGCUUAAAGCGCACGUAGGCGGAUAGAUAAGUUGAUUGUGAAAUCCCAUAGCUUACCUAUGGAACGGCAGUCAAAACUGUUUGUCUUGAGUGCUGAGGGGAGAGUGGAACUCCUAGUGGAGCGGUGAAAUGCGUUGAUAUUAGGAGGAACGCCGGAGGCGAAAGCGACUCUCUGGCCAGCAACUGACGCUGAGGUGCGAAAGCUAGGGGAGCAAACGGGAUUAGAUACCCCGGUAGUCCUAGCCGUAAACGAUGGGCACU
rnacentral:rRNA from 1 species